UCGACGCAUACUAAUACAAGCCUAAUUACGGAUUACCACUAGCAUAGAAUCAUUUCUCAUAAUCAUGCUUCAGCGUUCUUCCAUUUUUCUUAGGCCAUAAAUCAUUUUAUAUAAAUCAUAGCAUUAGAUAAGGUGUUAGCCUAUGUAUGGCUUCAUUUUAGUUUGUAAUCUAUUUGUGUGUAGAGAGCGUUGGGUUUGCGGUGACAUCUUGUUUAUUGUCAUUAAAUUGAAUUUUCUUAUAGUUUUCUUCAAUAGUCUGAAUAGACCUAAUGUUUAUACUUUUGUUGUUCCUGUUAGUGGUAUUUAUGUUAGUGUCAAGGUGCAUGGACUGAAUGAUAGCAGUUUCGGUACUAGCGAGGUGGCUGGUGCUGUUGCUGUAUAAGAUGGUCAAUAAUUAGGCAUCGUAUCAGCGACAACUGGCAUAUGCUUUGUGGGAAUGGGCAUCGUGUUUAUUCUCAUUUGGGUGAUGUGUCUGAUUAUCUUUCAUCAAAUGCUGACUGUCAUGAUGAACUCAGCUCGUCUAGUGAUGAUCUAGGAGUUAUUACUCUUCCCUUUUUGGAAUUUCUCAUAUUUUUUCUUGGCUUCUUUUCUUUUUAUGAUUCUUAUUGCUUUCGUUAUUUUUAUAUUGAAGUUUUAAAAUUAUAUAGGACAUUGUCACCUCCCUGUUUAUGAUGGUGCUGUAGUUGCUGACCUUUCUUUCGUUGUAUGGUAGUUGUGCCAUGCCUCUUAUAAACGUCAACACUGCAAACAUGUCCCGAGUAGGCAAAUUGCAAUGUUUCAUAGUUUGUAUCAUCUCUUGUUCAGCUUGAGACAUGUAUAUAUGUGACCUGCAGAAUCUGCUCUGCGGGCAUAGUUCAUGGUUGUGCAAAAGGUGUAGAGUUGUGAUUCGCCACAAGCCGUUUCUUUCACUCACCACCAUUUCUACUUUGCAAUAUGUCUUAGCUAUUACCGUGCUUUGUAUUUGUGCUACAAUCUGCUCAUUUUCUACUUCUGUGUUUUUUCCAUACUUGUUACAUUUCAUAGUAAAUCUUAUUACCUCAUUGUUUCUUCGUUUGCUUGCAGUAUGGUAAGAUGAAACACAGCUGACUGAGAAGCCAACAUUGUAAGCAUACAGUGACAUCACUUGGGCUGGCAUUUCCAUUGGUUGUGCUCGUGGACGGGCCAUCAUGGUAUUCUCCAGAACUUGUGUUGUUCUCUGAUUUAGCCAUUGCAUUUCUUUUACUUAUUUGAUGUCCUUGUUCCACACCCUCAGAUCUAGUAACCUGCAUGCAUGUUAUCAUUUUUUAUUGGUCAGCACUUUGUUAAUGUAUGAAAACUAUAUUAAAUAAUGAAAAAUGUUCUUAAUAAUCAAGAGAAUGUCCUGGUCUAGCUGCAUGUCGUAAAACAUGCUUAGGUCCCAUGAAUUGUCUUUUUCUUGUUGAAGAGAUGUAGUACAUGAACCUUGAUUGUCAUCAUCUGUUUUUCCAUCUAUAUGAAGUAAAGCAUGAGCUGGUACCUGCAUAUUUUAUAAACGAUAUAUUUUGGUCAGUAGACUUUUGUUUCAUUUGGUUUUUUUCAGCAAAUAUGUUUUACAAAAAUAAUAGGUUAAAAAUUACCUGUGCGUAGUCCUUUUGAUAUGUUGCAGUAUCAUUUAUAGCACCAAGAAGCAAACCAGUGUAUGCGAAUCCUUCCUGCAAUCCGAUCAUUAGCUAAUUGUAUACUCGUAUGAAUCUCCAUUUUUUCUGUUAUCACCUACUUGUGUGAAGAACUCAUCUUGGAUAUCAAUUGAUGAUGCAUAUCCUUGUGAGCAUAUCCCUGAAAUAUGCAUGGGAAUAUUUUUUGGUAAAUUAGCAAAAAUUACAUACGUGAAGAACUCUGCUGAUCUCAUUAUCGGUAUCAUUUAAAUAAUUUUAUUUUAUUUUCUCUUAAUUCUCUCAUUCCUCUUCUCUCAUUUUCCUUAUCUUUGUCACUUAGUCCUAUAAUUUAUCUCAUUUUUCUCAGUUCUUAGGUCUCAGGUCUUAGGUUUCAUUUUUUUCUUAAUAUUUAGUUCUUCAUUAUUUUCUCAUUCCUCAGUUUAAUUUGUUAUUAAUUUCUUCAGUUUCUCUUCAUUAUCUCAGUCUUAUCAUUCUCUGUCUCUAUCACUUGUUCUCAGUUUUAUUAUUAUUUUCUCAGUCUUUUCUUCAGUUCCUCUCUGUCUCAGUUCUUCAUUUUACUUUGUUCAGUCUCUGGUUAGGUCCUUUCUGUGUUUGUUUAAUUCAUUCUUAUUUCUCUUUUUCUUAGUUUCUUCAGUCUCUUAAUCUUGUUUCUCAGUCCAUGCAUAGGACCUUCUCUCAUUCCUCAGUCUCUUAUUUUUCAGUUUUAGUCUUUCAUUAGCUCACCUCAUUUUCAUAGUCUUCAUUAUUAGCUCAGUAUUUUCUUCAAUUCCUCUCUGUUACAGUUUUGUUGGCCGACAUCAGUCCCAGUAAUUAACCCACAAAAGAUCCAGCUUUCUAGGCGGUAUUAGUUUUGCAAGUUACAGUUUCAUGGUAGAUCGUAUUUCUAAGAUACAAAGUACCUGACCCUAACUUAAUUCCUGCCCACUCAAGAGCCAAAACGGUGUAAGGAAACACGAUAGCCAAAUAAUUUUGAGCCUAGCAGAUCAUUGAAGCAGAAACGAUACUUUUUCACCCCACACGCUUAAUCUGACUACUGCUGCUUUCCACAGAGGGAGAAGUGUUAGCUCCAACUGCAAAAUGUACAACAUGGGUCAACAUCUAGCUCAUUUUAAUUUUCUCAUUUCGGCUUUCAGUAAUUUCUUCUAAGUUUUGUUUGCUCAUUUUUCACAUUCAAAAUUAAGUAAAGCUCACCGAUCCAUGAACUGCAGUUACGGCAAGCCGGAGAAGCAGUGACGGAGAUGGAGAAAACAGAACGGUUGCAUGUGCAUAAUUUUUUUGUGAUGUGUUAUGUCUUCCUGUCUGGAACUAUUUUUGUACUAUCUAAGCAUAUCCCGAUUCUUGGAUUAUACUAUCAAGACUGCUCUCUCCUGCUCUUUAUUUUCUCUCAGCUGUCUACUACUUCGGUCUUUUUCUUCAAUUAUGCCUACAAAAUGGCAUUGGCAUACAAAGGGGAGACCUUAUACAUCUAGUUGCUUCAUUAUCUUAUCACUUAGUUACACUCAUUGUGUUCCUCAGUUUCUAGUUUUCAUCUAGUUGUUUUCAAUGCACUAGAAAAAUAAGGCCGGUUAGGGCCUAGUGGCGGGGGGUGUUAUCAGCCUUACAUGUAAUGGUGUAGCAUUUUUCCUAACUGUAUGUUGUCAAUGCUCAUGUUGAUUCACCUUCUAGUGAGUUGUAGUUGUUAAGUGCUUCUGUGGGGGAAGUAAAACUUGAACAAUAGUGCAUCGAAAUUAAUUUUCUAACCAGGUAUGCAACUACAACCAUCAGAAAGAACCUGCUGCUUGCUACCAUAUUGUGAACAAAAAGCUCAUUUUAUUAUAAUCCCCUCUUUAGUUUGAUCUUUUUCUCAUUUUUGUAGCUCAUUCCUAUCAGUAAUUUGAUCUAAGAGUCUCUUUCUUUCAAUUCUUCUUCUUAUGAUUAGCGGCCACAGGGGGGAGAGGUUAGUCACUAACAUUCAGUGGCGGAGCCACACACUAGCUGUGUAGUCACUUGACUACACAGUUUUUCAACUAUACAAAGAAAAAUUAUGUAGAAAUUUUCUAAAAAUUUACAUAAAUACAUAUAUUUGACUACACAGAUUUAAAUUGACUACACAAGGUUGGAGUUCUGGCUCCGCCACUGCUAACAUUGUGUCUGCAUUCUGCAGUUGCUACCCUGGAGCCCGGUUCUAAACUCAAAGUUUGUUGUACCGAUCUCACUUUCAUU